CAGAGAAAGGAGAAAGGGGAAAAACCCUAACUACAUCAAUCAACCUCAAAAUUCAGCAAGAUUGUGAAGGAUUAGAGUCAUAAAUCGCAUGCUAGUGCCUAAAUACUCUCUAAUCCAAGUGUUUUGAACAUAAGGAUCGAAAGAAGAAGGGGCUAGUUCCGGAUCACAAACAAAGGCACAAGAUCGAGGUAAAGCACCCGCAUGAUUGUCGUUGCGUCGCUCGGAUACGAACACACCUUGAUCACCCGUGAUGCGCUUCCGCAAUUUU